rnacentral:rRNA from 1 species
UACGUAGGGUGCGAGCGUUGUCCGGAAUUAUUGGCGUAAAGAGCUUGUAGCGGUUUGUCGCGUCUGCUGUGAAAAUCCGGGGCUCAACCCCGGACUUGCAGUGGGUACGGGCAGACUAGAGUUCGGUAGGGGAGACUGGAAUUCCUGGUGUAGCGGUGAAAUGCGCAGAUAUCAGGAGGAACACCGGUGGCGAAGGCGGGUCUCUGGGCCGAUACUGACGCUGAGGAGCGAAAGCGUGGGGAGCGAACAGG